rnacentral:lncRNA from 1 species
AUAGGCUGAGAGCAGAAGGAAAAAGGAGGCUUUGGCAGCAAGUUGGUGCACUGAAGGGAACGGCUGAAGACUGCUCCAGUCUCUUCAGGGAAGAAUUCUCAGAAGGACAACAGAAUGCUAACAUGUGACAUUCGUAUGAAGCUCCAUCACUAUGGCAAUAUGCAAAAAUACCAGGGACUCUCUUAGGUGCCACUUGGAAAUACAAUCUCCAGAAUUCCCAUUUGUCUCAGAAUGCUCACAUCAAUGGCUUCAGAGGGUCACUGGCUGUUUCAAUACACCGAAAAUUAUCAUCUACCAGCCUGACUCACAAGUGCUGAGAACCAAAAAGAACAUGAGAAGCAAAGAACAAUUUUCUUCACCUACAAGCAGAGAGACUGAUAAACGUGUCUGGUUCACUCACUGGACACAGCAAGAUGAAAGUCAUCUGCAAGUCAGGAAGAACGCUUUCAUUAUGAACCAUGUCAACAGCACCUUGAUCUCAGACCUCUCAGCCUUCAGAAUGGUGAGAAAUAAAUGUCUGCUGUUUAAACCAUCCAGUUUAUGGUAUUUUGUUAUAGCAACCUGAGCUAACAAAGACAGUGUUUUCCCUGAAUUCACCCAACAGAGAUGUCCUGAGCCUGCCUAGAUACCGUUUCCGGGCUGUGGAAUAAAGCACGGAUAAAGCAGAUGAGUUCUGCCUUCAUGACGGACUUGGAUUCUGAUGGGAAGGUUAGUCACAAACAACGGG